AGUGAACGCUGGCGGUAGGCCUAACACAUGCAAGUCGAACGGCAGCACAGGAGAGCUUGCUCUCUGGGUGGCGAGUGGCGGACGGGUGAGGAAUACAUCGGAAUCUACCUUUUCGUGGGGGAUAACGUAGGGAAACUUACGCUAAUACCGCAUACGACCUUCGGGUGAAAGCAGGGGACCUUCGGGCCUUGCGCGGAUAG
rnacentral:rRNA from 1 species